UACGUAGGGUGCGAGCGUUGUCCGGAAUUAUUGGGCGUAAAGGGCUCGUAGGCGGUUUGUCGCGUCGGGAGUGAAAACACCGGGCUUAACUCGGUGCUUACUUUCGAUACGGGCAGACUAGAGGCAUGCAGGGGAGAACGGAAUUCCUGGUGUAGCGGUGAAAUGCGCAGAUAUCAGGAGGAACACCGGUGGCGAAGGCGGUUCUCUGGGCAUGUCCUGACGCUGAGGAGCGAAAGUGUGGGGAGCGAACAGG
rnacentral:rRNA from 1 species